GUCUUAGAUGCAACAUAAAAAUUUCAGAGACAGAAGAAAUCUUCCUUUGAGGGCAGGAUUGAAAUGCUGUUUUUCUUCCCUGGUACAAUGUUAAAGCUUUAAACUCUUGUCAAUGAUGUGAUGUUUCAUCUGCAAUGAUCUACACUAGAAAAAUAAAAAUGUAGUUACUGACAAAAAAGCAGUACUCCAGGCAGAUUUAUAAAGGAAGCUGCUGGAAGGAAUUCAUUCCCUUUUUGCUGUUCUGCCUUCCACCUUCCACUGUGUGAGGACACUGCAAGAAAGCCCUCAUCAGACACCAACUGCCAGCACCUAGAUCUUGGAAUUCUCAGCCUCCAGAACUACGUGACUUGCUCUGCCUUGCCUUCCAUCAUGAUUGUGAGGACUCUCCAGCCACAUGCAACUGUCUUUGCCUAUUUAUUUAUAAGGAUUCCAUGCUGCUGCUCCGCCAUGCUUCACACCAAUCAAUAAGAAGUGUUUCCAGCUGUAUCUACGAAAUGUCUCUCCAGAAUCACUGACAAUUCGGUUCACAUCAUAUGGCAAUUAGAUAAUUUUCUGAUGACUUUUAACUUACCUCCUCUCUUUUGACUUCUCCCUACACCAUAUCAGUGUCCAAAGUGUUGCCAAAACCACUUCGAAAAUGCACAUCUGUUUCUGUCUCUCCCUUAUAUUAUGCCUUCAAAUCAUGACUUCUUAAAAUGAUAUAAGGAAUUUUUACAGUUGGGUAAAAAAUUAAGUUGGAGCCUCCUUUAUAAUUGUUCCUGUACAUUUGCCAUCCCUCCAGACUUAAAGAAUAAAUUGAAGAACUUUGUACAGAA
rnacentral:lncRNA from 1 species